GGCUCGCAGUUGAUGUCUGUAUCGAGCGCAGGUCAGGUGGACGUUGGAGCGUGGAAGUACGGGCAGUUGGAUGUCAUAUAUGCGUGUGUCUCACGAUGCUCGGGUGUGUGCUCCUUCGGCUUUUCCACACACUCCCGUCCGUAACAAGCCUCCUCGCUCGGGUACAUAACGGGAAUCGGUUAAACGGAGUGUGGYGUGCGUGUUUCACUUCAUUGUGRUGUGCGUCGCUGCGUUAAGCUCCAUCGGUUUCACGGUCACCUUGAGUAAAUCAGAGUGCUCAAAGCAGUCGUAGGGGCCUUGCGCCCUGUGAACAGUCUUGACGGACUGACUUGGUUUUGCAUGGCAUGUCGGAAGACGACGUCGUGUGCUGGCUCAGAGAUAUAAUCAGUGGUACAAGCCAGCCUCGACGUAAUGAUUAAAAGGGACGGUCGAGGGCAUUGGUAUUGCGGGGCGAGAGGUGAAAUUCUGUGACCCCCGCAAGACCUCCUGAAGCGAAAGCGUCUGCCAAGGACGUUUUCAUUAAUCAUGAACGAAAGUUAGAGGAUCGAAGGCGAUCAGAUACCGCCCUAGUUCUAACCCUAAACGAUGCCAACCAUCAAUCCGCGCGUAGCACCCUUCUUAACGGGCUCGGCGGGCAGCUCCCCACUCACGGGAAACCAGAGCCUCUGGGUUCCGGG
rnacentral:rRNA from 1 species